CCACGCCCUCUCUUCUCCUCCCUUUCUCUUCUCCCUUGGGCGUCCCACACACCCCACCUUUGGGCAUCCCAAAUCCACAUGCCCAUAAGGGAUUUGGCAUCCCCCUUUGAGUGCUAGUUCUUGGUGUUUGGUAGCAGCAUAUACAAGGGAGAAAGAUAAGAGAAGAAGAGAAGAAGAAGAUCAAGAAAAGAGAUCAAAGAAUUGAUUACGAUCCAGGCUUCGUUCAGAUUCACAUGCUAAAUUUUUUUAGAGAAGAAAAUUCAAUCUUAAGAGGGCUGUUCCAGACUGAUCCUGAGUGGAUACCCAU
rnacentral:lncRNA from 1 species